AGACAAGUCCAAAGUGUCAAAAUGGAACCAUGAUUUUUUUCAUUUUUCAUAAACUUGGCCAAUUUUUUGCAUGGGUAUAAAUAUGAACCCCUAAUUUUUUUUCAUCUAAUUUUGAUUCAAUGGUUUUUAGAAUACCUAGAAAAGUGUUAUUAAUAAAGAAGACAAGUCCAAAGCAUCGAAAAACAGCUUUAAAUAAAUUUUUGUUCAAUUUUCUGAACUUUUUAUUCAUUUUUUGAGGGGGGUCCAUAUUUGUACCAGAGUCCAUAUUUGUACCAUUUUAUGUCACUUUUCGAAAUUUCAAAUUUCUCCGUGAGUUUUCAACAAAAGAAAUACAUUUUUUUACACAAUAUACUAGAGUCUUUGACCUUUUGAAUGGUAUACUCGAAAAAAAUUUUGAUAAUUUUUUCUACCCUUUAAAGCCAAAAAGCUAGAGGGGGUCCAUAUUUGUACCUUCUCCUCUACAUAUAUUCUAUGGUAUCUUUCUUUCAUGAUAUUUUUUUAAUAAAAUUACAGGCUAUGCUUUUUACUCAAUUUUACCUCGGGUUCCUUAACAUUGGUUACAAUUAAUUUAUUUGUUUAUAAGUAGAUAUUAAUAUUUUUUUCAAAUUUUAAAAUAUUUUAUCAUGAGUAAAAUGCAUGAGGUUUUUUGAUUUGUCACAUUGUGAUGAAUGGGCACCAGUUGAGCAACAAGUGUUCACAUCUAGUUACUUGAAAACAUUGAAAUAAAAACAGUUCAUGAAGAGGCAGCACCUCCACCUGUGUAGGUGUAUGGUACAGUACGUAUAUGUACGUUACAGAUACAUUAAAUAAUAGGUAAGUAGGUAAUCAUUUCGUUAUUUAUCGAAAAUUAUAGCCUUUUAAUGUUGAGAUUAAUUCAUUUGCUAAUAAUCAUUUUCUAAGUGAUAUAUAUAUUACGUAUUUACUAACUUAAGCAGUACGUUUUCAAACAUUUAGAGUCAACGUUAUUGUUAAUUAAGAAAAUGAGAUAAGAUAGGGUCGAAGACGACCUGCUGUCAUCUUGAUUUUUUCCGGAUUGCCUAUCAGAGGUUGAAUAAUUAAUUUUUUUCGAGCAUAUCUAAUUGAAAAUAAAUCAAAUUAUGCUACUAACCUGAUAAGUUGCCUAUUACUGUGUUGCAGGCGGUAUGUGGGUUUUUUUAGAUGCAGGUAGAUAAGUAUUUUUAUUUUGUGAUAGGAAAGCAAAGCUUGUUUUUAUCGAACAUUUAUCUAAGCACCACAACAUAAUAGGUGAGUAAGUAAGUAAGUAAGUACUUGAAAAAAAGAGAUUUAUAAAAAUCUACGAAGAUUAGUUUCAAAAGUAUGAAGUAGGCACCUACCCAGUACCUACAAUACGUACCUACUGAAUGAUUUUUGGAUCAUUUAAAUAAAAAAUUAAUUUUUUUUCAAGGCUCAAGUUAUGUUGCAUCUUACGAAAUCUCAUUUAGAAACAGGUAGAUAUACCUACACUUAAAUAGUAAACACCUAUUGGAGCUGCUAUACGGUUUCGUCUGUCUGUAGGUAAUGAAUUGAAAAAAAUGAAGUCGUUAGAAUUAAUCAACAUUUGAGAAUAAAUUUAUCAAUUACUAAAUUUACAAAUUGACAUUCUAUCAUAUUAAUAUGUCUAUGACAUCAGGAAAUGAUUUUAUCUCGAGUUGAUAGAGUCAGAUGGGUUUCGAGAUGAUUCGGGAAAUUGAAAAACUUAAUUACUUGUUUUAUCGUAGGUAGGUAGAGGUACAUUAAUAAAUAGGUAUUGAAUGGAUAAGGUGUAAGUCUCAAUGCUUAAAUAGGUACUUAGAAACAUUAGUUUACUCACUGAUGUUAGAUAAACGCGUGUUUUCCGUACAAUAAUACGAAAGUAAAUUCAUUUCUGUUUAUUUUACGUACGAGUACGUUUGCUUAUCUAUGUACUACACUGACGUAAAUGAUGAAUUUAUUCCACGAAAACGUAAUACAAACCAUAUUAACUUCCGAACACCCAAAUAACGUCUCAUCAAUUCGAAUUCUGGAUUGGAAAAUCGAUGGCAUGACUGGAAAAUGCAUCAUUACCUACGCGUCUGUAUUAUCUCGACUCAUCAUUCGUUAUCAACUGGAAAUUGAAAAGAAUGCUCCUUGGAUGGAAAAAAUUUUCAUAAUCAAAGAUCCCACCAAAGCUCCUAUAUACAAUUACAUCAAAAUUAUGGGUUGGUACGAUAACGAGGUAAUGAUGUAUAACGAAGUACUUCCGAAAAUGUUCACAUUCAUCGAAGACGAAUGCUUCGCACCUCGACUGCACUACUUCAAUGACGAAAUGUUACUCGUGCUCGAAGAUUUAUCUGAAACUGGAUAUAAAUGUGGAUCGCAUGCUCGAAAGCUCGACUUCGAACAUUGUAUUCACGCUCUCAGAUCUCUAGCAAAAUUCCACGCUUUAUCUGUCAAACUAGAAAGUACACUAGGUCUACCAGAAUUGGUGAAACGUAAUGCUCUGUUUAAUACGACUAGAGUCCGAGAUCUCGCCAUUGCUAUUGCUAAACGAAUUCCUCCGUUUAUCGAUUCGAUUCCGCAACACAUCAAACAUCUUUAUCCAAAUAUGAUCACCCAAUUUAGAAAUCUUUCCGCCGAAAACCUGAUAGAUAUAAAGAACAGUUCUUCGUGUUACAAAUUCAACGUUCUGAAUCACGGUGAUUUCAGCAUCAAUAACAUUAUGUACAAUUAUGACGCUUUUGGAACUGUGAGACAUGUCAAAAUCAUCGAUUUUCAACUCUCUCACUGGAGUAGCCCCGCCAACGAUUUGCUAUUUUUUACCAUAACCAGUAUGAAGUUCGAGGUGUACCAGAAAUAUUUUCCUGUAUUGUUGAAAAUUUACUUGGAUACUCUGAGAAAGAUACUGUGUCAAUUGGGCUGUCCUACUCCUGCAUAUGAUGUGCAAAGUCUUCUCGAUGAUAUGGAUACUUUGUAUCCUUACGCAUUGUACAUCUUGAGUUGCGUGAUGCCUUUCAUCAUGAUAGAUCCAAACGACCCUCAUGAUGCCGAAAGUGUAAUCAAAGAUGGCAUGAUAGAUUUCAGUAACGGAAAAAAUGUUCUUAGCCGAAAAAAUUAUCAAGAAACUAUGAUAAGAUGGUUGGAACAUUUUGCUAAAAAAGACAGCUGCAUUUUUGAAAAAUGGUAGGCAAUGAUUCCACAAAACUGAUGUUUUUAAAAGAACGAACUUUUCCAGUGACACUGAUGGAAAUUAGAACUUUUCGUAUUGAUGAAAAG